rnacentral:rRNA from 5 species
UGCAGGGUAUAGACCCGAAACCCGGUGAUCUAGCCAUGGGCAGGUUGAAGGUUGGGUAACACUAACUGGAGGACCGAACCGACUAAUGUUGAAAAAUUAGCGGAUGACCUGUGGCUGGGGGUGAAAGGCCAAUCAAACCGGGAGAUAGCUGGUUCUCCCCGAAAGCUAUUUAGGUAGCGCCUCGUGAAUUCAUCUCCGGGGGUAGAGCACUGUUUCGGCUAGGGGGCCAUCCCGGCUUACCAACCCGAUGCAAACUGCGAAUACCGGAGAAUGUUAUCACGGGAGACACACGGCGGGUGCUAACGUCCGUCGUGAAGAGGGAAACAACCCAGACCGCCAGCUAAGGUCCCAAAGUCAUGGUUAAGUGGGAAACGAUGUGGGAAGGCCCAGACAGCCAGGAUGUUGGCUUAGAAGCAGCCAUCAUUUAAAGAAAGCGUAAUAGCUCACUGGUCGAGUCGGCCUGCGCGGAAGAUGUAACGGGGCUAAACCAU